GCAGAAAUUACACUGGGCUGACUGUGGACCCAGUCUCCAAGAUGAUUGGCCACUUCUACUUUCUUUUUCAUGGAAAGUUCACCACAGGCGAAUGCCAUGGAAGGAUCCCAACUGUACCAGCACAGUCAUGCCUUGAGGAAGUUCAAACUAGCCACAUAGACAGAUUAUGGGGAAGCAGCUCAUCCCCUGCGGUUCUAGCCAUCUCUGCCAAGGUGCCAAAUAUAGUUGACAGGAAGCUGUGUUCCAGACACAUGUAGCCAAAAACACAG
rnacentral:lncRNA from 1 species